GACGAACGCUGGCGGCGUGCUUAACACAUGCAAGUCGAACGAAAAGAGGGAAAGAGCUUGCUCUUUCCGGAAUUGAGUGGCAAACGGGUGAGUAACACGUAAACAACCUGCCUUCAGGAUGGGGACAACAGACGGAAACGACUGCUAAUACCGAAUAAGUUCCAAGAGCCGCAUGGCCCAUGGAAGAAAAGGUGGCCUCUACCUGUAAGCUAUCGCCUGAAGAGGGGUUUGCGUCUGAUUAGCUGGUUGGAGGGGUAACGGCCCACCAAGGCGACGAUCAGUAGCCGGUCUGAGAGGAUGAACGGCCACACUGGACCUGAGACACGGUCCAGACUCCUACGGGAGGCAGCAGUGGGGAAUCUUCCGCAAUGGGCGAAAGCCUGACGGAGCAACGCCGCGUGAGUGAUGACGGCCUUCGGGUUGUAAAACUCUGUGAUCCGGGACGAAAAGGCAGAGUGCGAAGAACAAACUGCAUUGACGGUACCGGAAAAGCAAGCCACGGCUAACUACGUG
rnacentral:rRNA from 1 species